UUAAGCGACUAAGCGUACACGGUGGAUGCCCUGGCAGUCAGAGGCGAUGAAGGACGUGCUAAUCUGCGAAAAGCGUCGGUAAGGUGAUAUGAACCGUUAUAACCGGCGAUGUCCGAAUGGGGAAACCCAGUGCAAUUCGUUGCACUAUCGUUAACUGAAUACAUAGGUUAACGAGGCGAACCGGGGGAACUGAAACAUCUAAGUACCCCGAGGAAAAGAAAUCAACCGAGAUUCCCCCAGUAGCGGCGAGCGAACGGGGAGCAGCCCAGAGUCUGAAUCAGCUUGUGUGUUAGUGGAACGGUCUGGAAAGUCCGACGGUACAGGGUGAUAGUCCCGUACACCAAAAUGCACAGGCUGUGAACUCGAAGAGUAGGGCGGGACACGUGGUAUCCUGUCUGAAUAUGGGGGGACCAUCCUCCAAGGCUAAAUACUCCUGACUGACCGAUAGUGAACCAGUACCGUGAGGGAAAGGCGAAAAGAACCCCGGCGAGGGGAGUGAAAAAGAACCUGAAACCGUGUACGUACAAGCAGUGGGAGCACCUUCGGGUGUGACUGCGUACCUUUUGUAUAAUGGGUCAGCGACUUAUAUUCUGUAGCAAGGUUAACCGUAUAGGGGAGCCGCAGGGAAACCGAGUCUUAACUGGGCGUUAAGUUGCAGGGUAUAGACCCGAAACCCGGUGAUCUAGCCAUGGGCAGGUUGAAGGUUGGGUAACACUAACUGGAGGACCGAACCGACUAAUGUUGAAAAAUUAGCGGAUGACUUGUGGCUGGGGGUGAAAGGCCAAUCAAACCGGGAGAUAGCUGGUUCUCCCCGAAAGCUAUUUAGGUAGCGCCUCGUGAAUUCAUCUUCGGGGGUAGAGCACUGUUUCGGCUAGGGGGUCAUCCCGACUUACCAACCCGAUGCAAACUACGAAUACCGAAGAAUGUUAUCACGGGAGACACACGGCGGGUGCUAACGUCCGUCGUGAAGAGGGAAACAACCCAGACCGCCAGCUAAGGUCCCAAAGUCAUGGUUAAGUGGGAAACGAUGUGGGAAGGCACAGACAGCCAGGAUGUUGGCUUAGAAGCAGCCAUCAUUUAAAGAAAGCGUAAUAGCUCACUGGUCGAGUCGGCCUGCGCGGAAGAUGUAACGGGGCUAAACCAUGCACCGAAGCUGCGGCAGCGACACUAUGUGUUGUUGGGUAGGGGAGCGUUCUGUAAGCCUGCGAAGGUGACCUGUGAGGGUUGCUGGAGGUAUCAGAAGUGCGAAUGCUGACAUAAGUAACGAUAAAGCGGGUGAAAAGCCCGCUCGCCGGAAGACCAAGGGUUCCUGUCCAACGUUAAUCGGGGCAGGGUGAGUCGACCCCUAAGGCGAGGCCGAAAGGCGUAGUCGAUGGGAAACAGGUUAAUAUUCCUGUACUUGGUGUUACUGCGAAGGGGGGACGGAGAAGGCUAUGUUAGCCGGGCGACGGUUGUCCCGGUUUAAGCAUGUAGGCUGAUUGUCCAGGCAAAUCCGGAUAAUCAAGGCUGAGGUGUGAUGACGAGGCACUACGGUGCUGAAGUAACAAAUGCCCUGCUUCCAGGAAAAGCCUCUAAGCAUCAGGUAACAUUAAAUCGUACCCCAAACCGACACAGGUGGUCAGGUAGAGAAUACCAAGGCGCUUGAGAGAACUCGGGUGAAGGAACUAGGCAAAAUGGUGCCGUAACUUCGGGAGAAGGCACGCUGGUGUGUAGGUGAAGUCCCUGCGGAUGGAGCUGAGACCAGUCGAAGAUACCAGCUGGCUGCAACUGUUUAUUAAAAACACAGCACUGUGCAAACACGAAAGUGGACGUAUACGGUGUGACGCCUGCCCGGUGCCGGAAGGUUAAUUGAUGGGGUUAUCCGUAAGGAGAAGCUCUUGAUCGAAGCCCCGGUAAACGGCGGCCGUAACUAUAACGGUCCUAAGGUAGCGAAAUUCCUUGUCGGGUAAGUUCCGACCUGCACGAAUGGCGUAAUGAUGGCCAGGCUGUCUCCACCCGAGACUCAGUGAAAUUGAACUCGCUGUGAAGAUGCAGUGUACCCGCGGCAAGACGGAAAGACCCCGUGAACCUUUACUAUAGCUUGACACUGAACAUUGAGCCUUGAUGUGUAGGAUAGGUGGGAGGCUUUGAAGCGUGGACGCCAGUCUGCGUGGAGCCAACCUUGAAAUACCACCCUUUAAUGUUUGAUGUUCUAACGUUGGCCCCUGACCGGGGUUGCGGACAGUGUCUGGUGGGUAGUUUGACUGGGGCGGUCUCCUCCCAAAGCGUAACGGAGGAGCACGAAGGUUAGCUAAUCCUGGUCGGACAUCAGGAGGUUAGUGCAAUGGCAUAAGCUAGCUUGACUGCGAGCGUGACGGCGCGAGCAGGUGCGAAAGCAGGUCAUAGUGAUCCGGUGGUUCUGAAUGGAAGGGCCAUCGCUCAACGGAUAAAAGGUACUCCGGGGAUAACAGGCUGAUACCGCCCAAGAGUUCAUAUCGACGGCGGUGUUUGGCACCUCGAUGUCGGCUCAUCACAUCCUGGGGCUGAAGUAGGUCCCAAGGGUAUGGCUGUUCGCCAUUUAAAGUGGUACGCGAGCUGGGUUUAGAACGUCGUGAGACAGUUCGGUCCCUAUCUGCCGUGGGCGCUGGAGAAUUGAGGGGGGCUGCUCCUAGUACGAGAGGACCGGAGUGGACGCAUCACUGGUGUUCGGGUUGUCAUGCCAAUGGCACUGCCCGGUAGCUAAAUGCGGAAGAGAUAAGUGCUGAAAGCAUCUAAGCACGAAACUUGCCCCGAGAUGAGUUCUCCCUGAGACUUUAAGUCUCCUGAAGGAACGUUAAAGACGAUGACGUUGAUAGGCCGGGUGUGUAAGCGCAGCGAUGCGUUGAGCUAACCGGUACUAAUGAACCGUGAGGCUUAACCUU
rnacentral:rRNA from 1 species